rnacentral:rRNA from 1 species
AAACGACUCUCGGCAACGGAUAUCUCGGCUCACGCAUCGAUGAAGAACGUAGCAAAAUGCGAUACUUGGUGUGAAUUGCAGAAUCCCGUGAACCAUUGAGUUUGUGAACGCAAGUUGCGCCCAAAGCCAUCCGGCUGAGGGCACGCCUGCCUGGGCGUCACG